rnacentral:rRNA from 1 species
UACGGGGGGGCAAGCGUUGUUCGGAAUUACUGGGCGUAAAGGGUCUGUAGGUGGCUUGCUAAGUCAGACGUGAAAUCCCUCAGCUUAACUGGGGAACUGCGUCUGAGACUGGCGAGCUUGAGGGCAGGAGAGGAACGCGGAAUUCCAGGUGUAGCGGUGAAAUGCGUAGAUAUCUGGAGGAACACCGGUGGCGAAGGCGGCGUUCUGGACUGCAUCUGACACUGAAAGACGAAAGCCAGGGGAGCAAACGGG